rnacentral:rRNA from 1 species
CUGCGAAUGGCUCAUUAAAACAGUUAUAGUUUAUUUGAUACAACAAAUGGAUAACUGUAGAAAAACUAGAGCUAAUACAUGCUUUAACCGCAAGGUUGUAUUUAUUAGAUAUUCCAAAUUGGUGAAUCAUAAUAACUUCGCAAAUCUCGUUUAUGACGAGAUAAAUCAUCCAAGUUUCUGCCCUAUCAUGCUCUCGAUGGUAGUGUAUUGGACUACCAUGGCUUUCACGGGUAACAGGGAAUUAGGGUUCGAUUCUGGAGAAGGAGCCUGAGAAACGGCUACUACAUCUACGGAAGGCAGCAGGCGCGUAAAUUACCCAAUCCUGACUCAGGGAGGUGGUGACAAGAUAUAACAACGCGAUUAAAAAUGCGAUUGUAGUGAGGGUAUUCUAAACCGAACCACUAGUACGAUUAGAGGGCAAGUCUGGUGCCAGCAGCCGCGGUAAUUCCAGCUCUAAUAGCGUAUAUUAAAGUUGCUGCAGUUAAAAAGCUCGUAGUUGGAUUUCAAGGAUUGUAAACCCUACUGGGAAUACAUCCUACUAGUCUUUGACUGUUACUGUGAGAAAAUUAGAGUGUUUCAAGCAGGCUAUUGCAAGAAUACAUUAGCAUGGAAUAACGAAUGUAUUUAGAAUCUUGGAUAAUUCUAAAUUACGAUUAAUAGAGACAGUUGGGGGCAUUAGUAUUUAAUUGUCAGAGGUGAAAUUCUUGGAUUUGUUAAAGACUAACGUAUGCGAAAGCAUUUGCCAAGGAUGUUUUCAUUAAUCAAGGACGAAAGAUAGGGGAUCAAAGACAAUCAGAUACUGUC